rnacentral:rRNA from 1 species
UACGGGGGGAGCAAGCGUUGUUCGGAUUUACUGGGCGUAAAGGGCGCGUAGGCGGCGCAACAAGUCACUUGUGAAAUCUCCGGGCUUAACCCGGAGCGGCCAAGUGAUACUGUCGUGCUAGAGUGCGGAAGGGGCUACUGGAAUUCUCGGUGUAGCGGUGAAAUGCGUAGAUAUCGAGAGGAACACCUGCGGCGAAGGCGGGUAGCUGGGCCGAUACUGACGCUGAGGUGCGAAAGCGUGGGGAGCAACAGG